GUCAGGCUGGAGAGGAGGGGGACUCCAUUCUGCCCGGCUGCAGGGGAGUGAGGCUACAUAGCAGAGGCGAGCAGCAUCCAGGGGCUUUACUGGAAAAAGAGCUCUGAAAUGGCCAUGACGAUAACUGACUUAUAUUGUGCUGUCUCCAUGCCCAGGUACUCCUCAGAUCACUUCCCUUCACAGUAGUUCCUGAUAUCAAGACCAUUCUUAUUUUGGUUCUGCAAUUGAGGAAACUGAGGUUCCUGGUGAAAGAAUGUGUAUAGGGGAGAGCAUAGGAACUGCUGGGGAGAAGAGACUUUACCAAGCAUGCUCUGGAAAAAAAGAGAAUGCCAACGAUCCUUGAAGAGGUGACAGAGAGAAUCUGCUUCAGGCUACAGGAGGAUUCAAGUCUGCGAUGGAGAAACCACCAAUUCACUUUUUCAAAUGCCAAAACAACUCCGCAGGCGUGGAGGAGACCUAUCUUGCAGCGCUGUAGGCCCAAGGCACCAGGGAAUCCGGUCCAGCUCAGCCCUACAGCUUUGCUCAGCCCCGUCUGCACCGCCGCCCCGUGGCCAAGGGCAGUACUGCGUCCUCCAAAAGGCAAGGGCGG